rnacentral:rRNA from 1 species
GCAUAAUCAUUUGCCUUCUAAUUAAAGGCUCGUAUGAAAGGAUAAACGAAAUUCUUCCUAUAUCAUUAUUACCUUUUAUAACUUAAUCUUCAGGUGCAGAUGCCUGAGUUACUUUGAAAGACAAAAAGACCCUAUAGAGUUUCAGUAAAUCUUUCCCCAUUUUUAUACUUUAGUUGGGGCGACUAAGGGUCUCUAAAACCACCCUACUAUCCAAAGAACAAUAAUUCCAAAUAAAGACCCAUUCCUAUUUGAUUUUAAAAAUAAACUACCUUAGGGAUAACAGGCUUAUCUUCCUAACGAGCCCAAAUCAAAAGGAAGGUCUGGCACCUCGAUGUUGGCUUAGAGUAACCUAUUAAUGCAAAAGUUAAUACAGUCAGUUUGUUCAACUGUUAAAUCUCU